CAUCUGAAAACGAAAACAACAAUAAAAUAUUAGUCGUAAAGAUUAUAAAUAUAUCAUAGACAUUGACCUAAUUCAUAAAGUUGCCUAUCUAGAAAAUAUCUUCUCAUAGAAAUAAAACUGCAUUGAAAAUGUUUCAGGUUUCGAAAUACUGAGUUUCGUUCAAAUUACGCAUGCAUCGGAAUAAGUCACCGGCGUGUAAUAAUAGUUGACACGGUAAUUCCGGCGAUGGGUCGUCGCUCGUCCAAAAAUGUGUUUCCGGUUCCGAUUACGCUGUGCAACGAGCGAUUGUCAUUUCCCAUUUGGUAAAAAUUUACUUCGGCACUUCGACAUAACUGUAGCGAUACAGACAUGUUGGAUAAGCAGUAAAAUGAAAAGCUGUGUCUGGUAUCGAGUCAUUUUUCAAUUUUGCUUCGCUUUCAAUUCCAUGAACUAAAAUAAAAACCACCUGAUUAGCAAAACCACAUGUGGUUUUCACAAUUGUAAUUUUAGUUCGAUAAAAUUGAUGUCACUUA